UUCAAGGCGCAGCCGAGGCGUAGAGGGGGUCCGGUUUGGUGGCCUCAGUAUUGCAUCUCUGCUUUUUGCAGAUGAUGUGGUUCUGUUGGCUUCAUCAAGCUGUGAUCUCCAGCUCGGUCAUCUGGGAGGAUCUCAGAGUAGAGCCGCUCCUCCUCCGAGUACGAGAGGAGCCAGAUGAGGUGGCUGGGGCAUCUGAUUCGGACGCGGGCAUGUCCCGCCAGGAGGAGACCCCGGGGACGACCCAGGACACGCUGGAGAGACUACAUCCUUCGGCUGCCCUGGGAACGCCUCGGGAUCCCCCCGGAAGAGCUGGAGGAAGCGGCUGGGGAGAGGGAAGUCUGGGCGUCCCUGCUAAAGCUACUGCCCCCGCGACCCGACCUUGGAUAAGCGGUAGAAAAUGGAUGGAUGGAUAACGACCUACCAACUACCUACCUAAUUAGGUGUUGCUACAUAUCACAAUGUGAGACAGGAUUGGCACUUGGAGAAGACUGAAGACUCGCCGAUUUCAGCACAAGGUUAGAAGGUCUGAGACAGAAAGGGACAAUGAUGACAUCACUUAUGCUAACCAGCUACUCAACGAAAUCAAAAAGGAAACAAGACCACAAAGACUUCGACAUGUUCAGUACGCAGACCACCAGUUUGAUAAGCAUGCAAUUCCGCGCGCAAUUGUAAUCGAGUCAGAUAUGUCAUUUUGUAACUAUGGAAGUUGAACCACUUCCAAUUCAAAUCCAAACUAAAAGAAUUAUUACGCAUAGAAUUGAAGACGUUUACGUUCGUCAUUUUAUUAGAACUGGUCUGAUGAUUUUGUCUGCAAACGAAGAGACCUUGGGGCUCGUCAGCAGACCAGACAGAAUAACUCAUGUGGAUGAAAAAAGCUUCAAGAAAGCCGUGUCAUUAAUAGACAGCCCACAAUCAACAAUAAAUGAUUUGUAAUCAAAGAACCGCUGAGAAUCACAAGACCUUUAACGAGAGCUCAAUGGAAUGUGUGUGUUUGUGUUGUGCUUCCCGUAUUACUGUGUUUUCUUCUACAAGGACAGUGUUUGGAUAAAUAAUUUCAAGACAUUGCUCGUCUUUUCUUUGUUAUGUUUAAAACAAUAACGCCAAACCAGAAUUUGGCAUGCAAAUACAGUAAAUAAAGCUGUUUCAAAAAUUG